UGGGGAAUAUUGCACAAUGGAGGGAACUCUGAUGCAGCGACGCCGCGUGAACGAAGAAGGCUUUCGAGUCGUAAAGUUCUUUUAUAUGGGAAGAUAAUGACGGUACCAUAAGAAAAAGCCCCGGCUAACUACGUGCCAGCAGCCGCGGUAAUACGUAGGGGGCUAGCGUUGUCCGGAAUCACUGGGCGUAAAGGGUUCGCAGGCGGAAAUGCAAGUCAGGUGUAAAAGGCAGUAGCUUAACUACUGUAAGCAUUUGAAACUGCAUAUCUUGAGAAGAGUAGAGGUAAGUGGAAAUUUUAGUGUAGCGGUGAAAUGCGUAGAUAUUAAAAAGAAUACCAGUGGCGAAGGCGACUUACUGGGCUCAUUCUGACGCUGAGGAACGAAAGCGUGGGUAGCAAACAGG
rnacentral:rRNA from 1 species